rnacentral:rRNA from 1 species
CCCUAAACUUAGAUAUUUUAACACACAAAAAUAUCCGCCAGAGAACUACGAGCAAAAUGCUUAAAACUCUAAGGACUUGGCGGUACCUCAAACCCCCCUAGAGGAGCUUGUUCUAUAAAUCGAUAAUCCACGAUUCACCUCACCAUCUUUUGCCAAAUCCCGCCUAUAUACCGCCGUCACCAGCUUACCCCAUGAGGGAUAUAAAAGUAAGCAAAAUAACUAACAGUUAAUAAGUCAGGUCAAGGUGUAGCUAAUUAAGAUGGAAGAAAUGGGCUACAUUUUCUACUUUAGAAAUCAAUUCACGGAAGGGAACUAUGAAAUAAGUCCCACAAGCAGGAUUUAGCAGUAAACUGAGAUCAGAGUGCCCAAUUU